CCUUAGAGGAGGGCUGGGACCUAAAUGCCAAUUAAGGCAGAGUCUGGAGUCAGCCUGGGGCAUCUCUGAGUGGUGCCCAAGGUGCUUUCCCUGUCACUGCUGCCCAGGAUCCCCACCAAACCCUUGGGGGCACUGGGAUUAUGGUGAUUGAACAUCCUUACUUCCCAGAUGAGGAAACUGAGGCACAGAGAGGUCAACUAAUCUGUUCCGUAUCAUGCAGGUCUUGCAUUCUUCCAGACGAGACACUUUGCCUUCUGAAAGAGCUCUGUUGGUGGACCUGCUUCUUCCAUCUGUUGAGCUUGUUGGAGAAAACAGGUGUUGGGAUGGGUAAAAACAAAGUCAACAAGCCGUGAGAUGUAGCCUUCCUGGCCUUUGCAAGAAUGACUCCAACAUGUGCAUAAAUAAUGGCUGCAUUAUGAGCCUGGUGCUUUAUUUAUAGCUAAUAGAUAAGUUCAUUUCCAACUGAUUGCUAUUAAUAUUCCAUUACUGACAUAUUGUUUUUACCGCUAUUUAAAGCUUCCAUGUGUGAGACGUGAAGGAUGCAGCAGGUCUCAGUGUAAAGGGGAGAACAUAGAGGAGAAAUGACUUUCUUGGCAGAAGCUAGACCUAGAAGAGAGCUAAGGAGGAUGCAUGCACAAGCAUGUGGAGGUCAGGCCAUCUGAGGACUAGUAGGAAAAAGGGGGAGGUUUAGCAAGGAGGGAGAAGAUUUAGGAACAUCUAAAGGGCUGUUAUUAAGGAUGUGAAGGG
ensembl:lncRNA